GAUUGGUUGCUUAGCUCUGUGCCUACCAUCAUGCCUAAGACUAAGUCCGGUAAGACCUCUUCUCAGACCCCAAUGGGGUCCUGUUGGAGUGUCUGCUCCCACUUUCGGUCACUGGUGCCUGUGCCUCCUGCCCUGCCUCUGGACAGAAUCACCUUUCUCCCCCUUCUCUUGCCCA